AUUGAACGCUGGCGGCAGGCUUAACACAUGCAAGUCGAGCGAGCGGCGGACGGGUGAGUAAUGUCUGGGAAACUGCCUGAUGGAGGGGGAUAACUACUGGAAACGGUAGCUAAUACCGCAUACCAUCAGAUGUGCCCAGAUGGGAUUAGCUAGUAGGUGGGGUAAUGGCUCACCAAGGCGACGAUCCCUAGCUGGUCUGAGAGGAUGACCAGCCACACGGUAAGUGAGACACGGUCCAGACUCCGACGUGAGGCAGCAGUGGGGAAUAUUGCACAAUGGGCGCAAGCCUGAUGCAGCCAUGCCGAGUGUGUGAAGUGGGCCUUCGGGUUGUAAAGUACUUGCAGCGAGGAGGCGUUACCCGCAGAAGAAGCACCGGCUAACUCCGUGCCAGCAGCCGCGGUAAUUC
rnacentral:rRNA from 1 species